UAUGAGCCAUCGAAGUCCUGACAUGUCGAAGCCCGAAUACCGUUUGGAGAUCAAUGAGGCAACCAGUUGGUAUCUCAAUACCGAAGCUGUGCCUCAUCUUCAGCAUGUCGUUCCUUAUGUCAACGCUAGCAAAAGUGAUGCCGCUACGAAGGAAGUCCAUGAGUUCUGGACAAUGCUUGUCACUACUGCAACAGAAACAAAUUAAAAUGGAACAAAUGUUAC
rnacentral:lncRNA from 1 species